ACGCUGGCGGCGUGGCCCUAACACAUGCAAGUCGAGACGGUCAGACACGGGUACUUGUACCUGGUGGCGAGCGGCGGACGGGUGAGUAAUGCCUAGGAAUCUGCCUGGUAGUGGGGGAUAACGCUCGGAAACGGACGCUAAUACCGCAUACGUCCUACGGGAGAAAGCAGGGGACCUUCGGGCCUUGCGCUAUCAGAUGAGCCUAGGUCGGAUUAGCUAGUUGGUGAGGUAAUGGCUCACCAAGGCGACGAUCCGUAACUGGUCUGAGAGGAUGAUCAGUCACACUGGAACUGAGACACGGUCCAGACUCCUACGGGAGGCAGCAGUGGGGAAUAUUGGACAAUGGGCGAAAGCCUGAUCCAGCCAUGCCGCGUGUGUGAAGAAGGUCUUCGGAUUGUAAAGCACUUUAAGUUGGGAGGAAGGGCAUUUACCUAAUACGUAAGUGUUUUGACGUUACCGACAGAAUAAGCACCGGCUAACUCUGUGCCAGCAGCCGCGGGUAAUAA
rnacentral:rRNA from 1 species